AGCGUAUAUCAUAAUCAGUCAAUGUUGGAUAAAGUACUUUGAAAUCUGUGCUGUUCACAUACUCGAAAAUCAAGCUCGGUGUUUUUGAAUGUUGAUCUCUGACAAUGUCAAAAAGCUUGAUGAUAUUUGGACCCCCACAGAGGUUCUGAAGUAUUUUUAUCUCUCUCUUUAUCUUCUUCUUCUUAACAGGCUUAAGGAUCUUGAUUAUGCACCGCUCGUUGUUAUUAACAUUUAUUCCCUCAAAUACCUCACUAUAUUUUCCUCUUCCA
rnacentral:misc_RNA from 1 species